CGGCCGCGUCGACGAGCAAACAGGAUUAGAUACCCUGGUAGUCCACGCCGUAAACGAUGAGUGCUAGGUGUUAGGCCCUUUCCGGGGCUUAGUGCCGGAGCUAACGCAAUAAGCACUCCGCCUGGGGAGUACGACCGCAAGGUUGAAACUCAAAGGAAUUGACGGGGGCCCGCACAAGCGGUGGAGCAUGUGGUUUAAUUCGAAGCAACGCGAAGAACCUUACCAGGUCUUGACAUCCCGAUGCUAUUCUUAGAGAUAGGAAGUUACUUCGGUACAUCGGAGACAGGUGGUGCAUGGUUGUCGUCAGCUCGUGUCGUGAGAUGUUGGGUUAAGUCCCGCAACGAGCGCAACCCUUAUUGUUAGUUGCCAUCAUUAAGUUGGGCACUCUAGCGAUACUGCCGGUAAUAAACCGGAGGAAGGUGGGGAUGACGUCAAAUCAUCAUGCCCCUUAUGACCUGGGCUACACACGUGCUACAAUGGUCGGUACAACGAGUUGCGAGCCGGUGACGGCAAGCUAAUCUCUGAAAGCCGAUCUCAGUUCGG
rnacentral:rRNA from 1 species